rnacentral:rRNA from 1 species
UACGAAGGGGGCUAGCGUUGUUCGGAAUUACUGGGCGUAAAGGGCGCGUAGGCGGCCCGUCAAGUCCCGUGUGAAAGCCCCCGGCUCAACCGGGGAACGGCGCGGGAAACUAGCAGGCUUGAGUUCGGGAGAGGGAAGCGGAAUUCCGGGUGUAGCGGUGAAAUGCGCAGAUAUCCGGAGGAACACCGGUGGCGAAGGCGGCUUCCUGGACCGACACUGACGCUGAGGCGCGAAAGCUAGGGGAGCAAACGGG